AGUGAACGCUGGCGGUAGGCCUAACACAUGCAAGUCGAACGGCAGCACAGUAAGAGCUUGCUCUUACGGGUGGCGAGUGGCGGACGGGUGAGGAAUACAUCGGAAUCUACUUUUUCGUGGGGGAUAACGUAGGGAAACUUACGCUAAUACCGCAUACGACCUACGGGUGAAAGCAGGGGAUCUUCGGACCUUGCGCGAUUGAAUGAGCCGAUGUCGGAUUAGCUAGUUGGCGGGGUAAAGGCCCACCAAGGCGACGAUCCGUAGCUGGUCUGAGAGGAUGAUCAGCCACACUGGAACUGAGACACGGUCCAGACGCCUACGGGAGGCAGCAGUGGGGAAUAUUGGACAAUGGGCGCAAGCCUGAUCCAGCCAUACCGCGUGGGUGAAGAAGGCCUGCGGGUUGUAAAGCCCUUUUGUUGGGAAAGAAAAGCAGCAGGUUAAUACCCCGCUGUUCUGACGGUACCCAAAGAAUAAGCACCGGCUAACUUCGU
rnacentral:rRNA from 1 species